UACGUAGGGACCGAGCGUUGUCCGGAAUCAUUGGGCGUAAAGAGCGUGUAGGCGGCCACUUAAGUCCUGCGUGAAAUCUUGCGGCUCAACCGCAAGCGGUCGUGGGAAACUGGGUGGCUAGAGUGCGGGAGAGGAGAGUGGAAUUCCUGGUGUAGCGGUGGAAUGCGCAGAUAUCAGGAAGAACACCCGUGGCGAAGGCGGCUCUCGUGGAACGCAACUGACGCUGAGGCACGAAAGUGUGGGGAUCAAACAGG
rnacentral:rRNA from 1 species